AUUGAACGCUGGCGGCAGGCUUAACACAUGCAAGUCGAGCGAGCGGCGGACGGGUGAGUAAUGUAUGGGGACUGCCCGAUAGAGGGGGAUAACUACUGGAAACGGUGGCUAAUACCGCAUACUAUCGGAUAACCCAUAUGGGAUUAGCUAGUGGGUGGGGUAAAGGCUCACCUAGGCGACGAUCUCUAGCUGGUCUGAGAGGAUGAUCAGCCACACUGGAAGUGGGAAACGGCCAAGACUCCAACGGAGGCAGCAGUGGGGAAUAUUGCACAAUGGGCGCAAGCCUGAUGAAGCAAUGCCGCGUGUAGGAGGAGGGCCUUAGGGUUGUAAAGUACUUUCAGCGGGGAGGCGUUACCCGAAGAAGAAGCACCGGCUAACUCCGUGCAAGCAGCCGCGGUAAUAC
rnacentral:rRNA from 1 species